rnacentral:rRNA from 1 species
AGAGCGAACGCUGGCGGCAGGCCUAACACAUGCAAGUCGAACGGGCCCUUCGGGGUUAGUGGCGGACGGGUGAGUAACACGUGGGAACGUGCCUUUUGGUUCGGAAUAGCUCCUGGAAACGGGUGGUAAUGCCGAAUGUGCCCUUUGGGGGAAAGAUUUAUCGCCAUUAGAGCGGCCCGCGUCCGAUUAGCUAGUUGGUGAGGUAAAGGCUCACCAAGGCGACGAUCAGUAGCUGGUCUGAGAGGAUGACCAGCCACAUUGGGACUGAGACACGGCCCAAACUCCUACGGGAGGCAGCAGUGGGGAAUCUUGCGCAAUGGGCGAAAGCCUGACGCAGCCAUGCCGCGUGAAUGAUGAAGGUCUUAGGAUUGUAAAAUUCUUUCACCGGGGACGAUAAUGACGGUACCCGGAGAAGAACGCCCGGCUAACUUCGUGCCAGCAGCCGC